CCUACGGGAGGCAGCAGUGGGGAAUAUUGCACAAUGGGGGAAACCCUGAUGCAGCGACGCCGCGUGAGUGAAGAAGUUUCUCGGUACGUAAAGCUCUUUCAGCAGGGAAGCAAAUGACGGUACCUGACUAAGAAGCCCCGGCUAACUACGUGCCAGGAGCCGCGGUAAUACGUAGGGGGCAAGCGUUAUCCGGAUUUACUGGGGGUAAAGGGAGCGUAGACGGCUGCACAUGUCUGGAGUGAAAUCCCGGGGCUUAACCCCGGAACUGCUUUGGAAACUGGGCGGCUGGAGUGGAGGAGGGGUAAGGAGAAUUCCUGGUGUAGCGGGGAAAUGCGUAGAUAUUAGGAGGAACACCGGUGGCGAAGGCGGCAUACUGGACUAAGACUGACGUUGAGGCGCGAAAGCGUGGGGAGCAAACAGGAUUAGAUACCCGAGUAGUC
rnacentral:rRNA from 1 species